AACGCACAUUGCGCCCCUUGGUAUUCCGAGGGGCAUGCCUGUUCGAGCGUCAUUUCAAACCUCAAGCUCGCGCUUGGUGUUGGGCGUCGUCCGCCAGGACGUGCCCGAAACCCGUAGGCAGUGGUGCCCGCCUCCCAGCGUAGUCAAGUUACCCGCUUCGGAGCGCGCGGUGCCGCCCGCCAGACGAACAACCCACUAUCUUCUAUGGUUUGACCUCGGAUCAGGUAGGGAUACCCGCUGAACUUAA
rnacentral:misc_RNA from 1 species